CCGACCUUAGCUCAGUUGGUAGAGCGGAGGACUGUAGUUGGUAUAGCAAUCCUUAGGUCGCUGGUUCGAAUCCGGCAGGUCGGA